rnacentral:tmRNA from 1 species
UUGGACUCGGGGGCGGUACCCGGCGCCUCCACCAAAAUGUAAUUGUUGUUUAUUAUAUUUUAUGCGGGGGCGAAAUAGGAUCGACAAAGGUGUAAAGAUUGCUCUUUUACCCGGUAUUGUACCACCGUUAUCGGACUAAACUUGUAGUUGCAAAUGACAACUAUGCGGAAGUAGCUCUCGCUGCUUAGUGCAGCGCGAAAACUUCAAAUUAAGUCUUAAACCGAAGCAGGUUUAAGCGGGGUCCGGAGG